AGUCGAACGGCAGUACGGACUUCGGUCUGGUGGCGAGUGCGAACGGGUGAGUAAUGUAUCGGAACGUGCCUAGUAGCGGGGGAUAACUACGCGAGCGUAGAAGCAAUACCGCAUACGCCCUCGGGGGAAAGCGGGGACCUUCGGGCCUCUCGCACCGCUGAAGUGGCCGAUAUCGGAUUAGCUAGCUGGUGGGGUAACGGCUCACCAAGGGACGAUCCGUAGCUGGUUUGAGAGGACGACCAGCCACACUGGGAUUCGAGACACAAGCCCAGACUCCUACGGGAGGCAGCAGUGGGGAAUUUUGACAAUGGGGAAACCCUGAUCCAGCCAUCCCGCGUGUGCGAUGAAGGCCUUCGGGUUGUAAAGCACUUUUGGCAGGAGAAAAGAAACGGCAUCGAUAAUACCCCGUGCAACUGACGGUACCUGCAGAAUAAGACCGGCUAAUCACGCUGGCAGCCAUGGCCAUGUAGGGUGCAAGCGUUAACGGAACUACUGGCGUAAAGCGUGCAGUUGGAAAGAAAGAUGAAUCCCAGAGCUUAACUUUUGGAACUGCAUUUUUAACUACCGAGCUAGAGUGGCCAGAGGGAGGUGGAAUUCCGCGUGUAGCAGAAUGGUGAGAUAUGCGGAGGAACACCGAUGGCGAAGGCAGCCUCCUGGGAUAACACUGACGCUCAUGCACGAAAGCGAGCAAACAGGAUUAUGAUACCUUGUAGUAGUCCACGCUAUAAAAACGAUGUCAACUAGCUGUUGGGGCCUUCGGGCCUCGGUAGCGCAGCUAACGCGUGAAGUUGACCGCCUGGGGAGUACGGUCGCAAGAUUAAAAACUCCUAAAGGAAUUGACGGGGACCCGCACAAGCGGUGGAUGAUGUGGAUUAAUUCGAUGCAACGCGAAAACCUUACCCACCCUUGACAUGUCUGGAAUCCUGAAGAGAUUUGGGAGUGCUCGCAAGAGAACCGAACACAGGUGCUGCAUGGCUGUCGUCAGCUCGUGUCGUGAGAUGUUGGGUUAAGUCCCGCAACGAGCGCAACCCUUGUCAUUAGUUGCUACGAAAGGGCACCUAGACGAGACUGCUGGUGACAAACGCAGAGGAAGGUGGGGAUGACGUCAAGUCCUCGCUGGUCUUAUGGGUAGGGUCAGCACGGCCAUACAAUGGUCGGGACAGAGGGUCACCAAAUUCGGCGAGGGGAGCCAAUCCCAGAACCCGAUCGUAGUCCGGAUCGCAGUCUGCAACUCGACCGCGGAAGUCGGGAAUCGCUAGUAAUCGCAGAUCAAGAACGCGGUGAAUACGUUCCUGGGGUCUUGUACACACCGCCUGUCACACCAUGGGAGUGGGUUUUACCAGAAGUAGUUAGCCUAACCGUAAGGAGGGCGAUUACCGCGAUGGUAGAUUCAUGACUGGGGUGAAGUCGUAACAAGGCAA
rnacentral:rRNA from 1 species